AGCAAACACUAAAAAAAAACACUAAAUGUCACUCGCAGCCUUUGAAGCUCUUUUGUCCUGGCAUCUCCCAACACAUGAAACAGUGGACGGUGACCGUGAGGUUAGAACCCAAGGAUACAGCGCCUUUAAAAAACAAUGAUAGGAGAAAGCACACUGAUCCUGAUACCAGCAGAUGUUGAACUCCGAUGGAAAAAGGCGUCUCACGUCUCAUCAUCGGAGCCGCCGAGUGACGCUGGGAGCAGCAAAUGGAGUGGGUUUCAAAAGGCUGAAAAACUGUGUGAUGAAGAAGCCGGCCCAAGCUAAAGGGUGGACUUGCCUCAAGAAGAAAUUGGCACAGAGAACAACAACAAAAGAGACUGACAAAGUGUGUGAUGAAGGAAUUACAAGGCUGAUGCUAAAGAACAUGGCUUUAAACACCGAUGAAUGACUUUUAUGGCCCACAAGUAAGAUGGAUGUCCUCAUCCAUCCCAGAAUGCAUUGAGGGCCACUGCAGCGCCGCUGCUGUGAAACAGCGACACAACGUGAAUGGAACUCCUCCUCGUGCUGCCGCCACAAAUAUGUUCCGUGUUCUCUGGGAUUUAAGCGGCAGCUUUUCACGUCAGCUUAAUGGAUUCCAAUUGUCUGCUUUGGAGUGGCUUUUACACGCCGAGCUGAUCCACACACAGCACACGCUACAAAUAUAUACGACUCUGGCAGCGGUGUCUAAAGCGUGGCUGGGGGACCAUUUGCGGACGGUGCUGAUGUUUUAGUUCUCGAAGAAAAUUUGUCUUAAACUGUAUUAUGGAAAGCAGGAAGUGAACAAAUGUAACAGUUACUGAUUGUAAAAGUACCAGAUAGAGGGGUAGGAUUUAAUAAGAUUUGCUUCUUCCUACUCCUUUUGGACAUGUGGAACUGGGAACUGAUUAUGGGAUGCACUCAAUUGUAAUCUGAUGCAUGUUCAAAUGAAAUAAAACCAUUACCGUUACCAUUACAAAAAAGCAUUGCAUGGUACACGGCUUUUCCAAGGGUCGGGCACUCACAUGGGCGGAGCAGCAGAUUGAGAAAAAUAAAGAAAAAUAUAUUUUUGCUACUGAAACCCUGUCUUUUGAGGCAACAAAAAAAACUAGUGUAUCAAUGUAAAUUGAUAUUUUUUAGUAUUCACAUUCCGGAGCUGAAAGAUGUGAUCAGGCCAAACCAAUCCAUCCAUUUUCUAUGUAGCUUAUCCUCAUGAGGGAUGCUGGAGCCUAUCCCAGCUGACUUCUAGCAAGAGGUGGCAUACAGUUCAGGCCAAACUAAAUAUUAACAUGGACAGUAUGCAACGGUGCAGCUACCAAGGUGGCAGAAGUGCAUCUGAUGUGCUUGCAUGGAUCAUUUGCAUGCAUUAACACACUCAGCGACUGUGAUUGGCUGGCAACCAGGCCAGGGUGUACCCCGCCUGUCGCCCGAAGACAGCUGGGAUAGGCUCCAGCAUCGGAUGAAAGACAAGAGUCUAUUUUUUUUUCUUUCUUUUCGUGGGUUCCAUGUUUAUAUAGUCAUAGAAAACAAUAUUCUGUGUGCCAAAAUGGCCUAAAAUGGCUUGGAAGGGCUGUCUUUUGAAAAUGGCCGGUGUGUGGAUUGGACGAGGUUUAUUGUGUUAAAUAAACAAAACGUUAUAAAUAUGAAAGUGGCCACUGCAUACCUCAUUCAUUCUAUCUUAAAAACAUGCUUUAAUAAAACUUACUAACUUCAUGGGCUACACAAGCUCAUUAGAUCCAAUACAAGACGUCCUUUUAUGGUUGUUUCAGUCAACUUGCAUUCAGUACCGGUGAGGCAGUGACCCACCAGAUCCAGUAGAUGGUGCUGAACCCAUACAACAUACAUUUUCAAUUCAACACAUUUUCACGGUGGAGAGCUAUCAGGGACAUCCCUGAAUAUGACAACUCUCCGUGGACACUUUGACCUUGCAUCAUUAUUAUUACAUUAUUAGUGUUGCAUUCUGAUCCUAUAUUGCUACAUUGUUUACCCUGUUUCUAUUCUCCGCUUGGGCAUCUCCCUGUGGAGUUUGCAUGUUCUCCCCAUGCAUGCGUGGCUUUUCUCCGGGUACUCCGGUUUCCUCCCACAUUCCAAAAACAUGCUAGGUUAAUUGGCCACUCCAAAUUGUCCAUAGGUAUGAAUGUGAGUGUGAAUGGUUGUUUGUCUAUAUGUGCCCUGUGAUUGGCUGGCCACCAGUCCAGGGUGUACCCCGCCUCUCACCCGAAGACAGUUGGGAUAGGCUCCAGCAUACCCGCGACCCUCGUGAGGAUAAGCGGCAUAGAAAAAGGAUGUAUGGAUGUUUACCGUUAGAUAAUACACCUAUGUAUAUGUACAUAUAUAUAUGAUAUAUAUGUAUGUACAUAUAUACACAUGUAUAUAUAAAAAAAUGUAUAUAUAUAUGUGUGUGUGUGUGUGUGUGUGUGUGUGUGUGUGUGUGUGUGUGUGUGUGUGUGUGUGUGUGUGUGUAUAUAAAAUAUACAUCUAUUCCACCACAAAGUAAAUCCCACAGGAAGUAACCGAGUGGGAAGCGUGAAAAUAAGGCGAGACUAUUAUUUGCGCUUCCAGCAAAGCGCUAGAAGCAUCCAUCAAGUGCGCGCUGUCAUCCAUCAGCCAGCUGAGGCUGGGAUGAUGUGAGGAAAUCACUCAUGUCUACUUGAUCGAUGACAUCCGCUCAUACGCCACCUUCAACCUCGUAAAUAAUAUCCAUAUUUUCUUUUCUUUUUUGGCCGUUAAAGGACAAAUAAGGAGCUCUACAUUGUGAGGCAGGAGUCAAGAGUGUGUAUGCGUGUGAGAUGUGGAUAAAAAUCCCAUUCAUGUAUUUUUACCAGUCCGCAUCCUUGCUUGCCUCCAUCCUCAUCAUCCUACAUUUAGCCAGUAUCAGCCCACUCUCCCCCCCUGGUGGCGACUCUUGACAUGACCCCCUUCCCGCCGUCCCACAGCCCAGGCAGACGUUACAUCACUUCACCUCUCAUCUACGCUGACUAACAGGUAUGUCGUGGACGACAUUAUUUGGCGCCCCAUUGUGGUUAAAGGCCAACCACGUCCACGUCCACAACCAUGUCCACGUCACCAGCCAACAGAGCGGCUGAUAGCAUCAUCUGUGAGACUGAUGCUCGAAGCCUUGACUGUUCCUAAUGUUGUGGCUGGAGUAAAUGUGAGGCACAGCGUGGCCGCAGAGCUAUGCUGCCCAGCUGCACCACGGACAGAGGCCCCCCCUGGAAUCAGGGUGGUAAAGAAACAAAGCAUGCAGUAUAAAUCAGACCCACAGCAUCAAUGGGGAGCUUUUGUCUUUCAUGGCGGAGAGAAGAGACCACGCUGACAAAUUGCCAGCAGCUCCCCCUGCUGGGCACAUCCAAAAAGGACCCCUGGCCCUGACACCACCAUGUACUCCCCCUGGCAGAGUGUGUUCUCCACUUUUCAUUCAGGCCAGCAGGGAACAAAAGAUGCAUAAAAGCAGGAGAAGCGUGGAGGCCCACGCAGCAGCACAGUGAUGUGGGUGGUCGUACAACGUGUGUGUGCGUGUUUAAUACAUACGAGAGCUCAGCAAAGUCGGUCAUUUGGAUUCUGGCCAUGCGAGCCAGGAUCUCCAUCAUGUGCAGACCUUCAUCAGUCUGCAAGCCGCUGAAGAUGAUGAUGAUAAUACAUAGGAGGAGGAAGGAGGAAGGAAAGAAGAAUAGUGUUCAUCACAUGAUACCAGGUAUCAGGAUAUCUUAAUAUCUCAGCCGGA